rnacentral:lncRNA from 1 species
UGGGGUUUCACCAUGUUGGCCAGGCAGGUAUUGAACUCCUGACCUUGUGAUCUGCCUGCUUCGGCCUCCCAAAGUGCUGGGAUUAUAGGCAUGAUAAUCUGCCCCUUGACUGACUUUCUAAAGGCAGGGAUUUCGUAGUGUUUCUUUCAUGUGGCCUUUAGGAAGAAGCGUCCACUCUCAUUGUGUUUCACUUACCAGUUUGCUUUUAAAGAGCCAGGACCAGUCCACUAGCUGUGCGGAGUGCUGACCUCAUGGACAACAGCCCUGCCCUCAUAGGAUAUCUGAGCUUGUCAUAAUUCAGGUGGGCUCUGCAGGGAAGCAGGGGCUCAUGGGGAGUGGGAGGACGCUGGGGAGAAGAUGAGGUGUGAGUAGUCCGGUGUGAGGGAAAAUGGCGAUCCUGGGCCAACUUACGAUUAAGAGGGUCGAGUCCUGUGACUGCUGUGAAGUAACCAGGAUUUCAUAUAGAGAUGGGACUCAAAGUCAGCCCAGGUGCAGCAUGGUGGUCCCAGAAUUGCCCAAGCUUCCCUCCCUAUGUUAGAAGUAGAAAUGAGAGGAGGAGAACAUGUGAGAUGAAAAAGGUUUGGAGUGGAACUGUGUUGUCACUGAUGGUGGUCAGUGUGACCAGAAGAGCCAGCAGGACCA